UGGCUCAGCUUGGCUAGAGCGCCUGCUUUGGGAGCAGGAGGUCGCAGGUUCGAAUCCU
rnacentral:tRNA from 1 species